AACCUGGCGGCAGGCCUAACACAUGCAAGUUCGAACGGUAACAUUUCUAGCUUGCUAGAAGAUGACGAGUGGCGGACGGGUGAGUAAUGCUUGGGAACUUGCCUUUGCGAGGGGGAUAACAGUUGGAAACGACUGCUAAUACCGCAUAAUGUCUUCGGACCAAACGGGGCUUAGGCUCCGGCGCAAAGAGAGGCCCAAGUGAGAUUAGCUAGUUGGUAAGGUAACGGCUUACCAAGGCGACGAUCUCUAGCUGUUCUGAGAGGAAGAUCAGCCACACUGGGACUGAGACACGGCCCAGACUCCUACGGGAGGCAGCAGUGGGGAAUAUUGCACAAUGGGGGAAACCCUGAUGCAGCCAUGCCGCGUGUGUGAAGAAGGCCUUCGGGUUGUAAAGCACUUUCAGUUGUGAGGAAAAGUUAGUAGUUAAUACCUGCUAGCCGUGACGUUAACAACAGAAGAAGCACCGGCUAACUCCGUGCCAGCAGCCGCGGUAAUACGGAGGGUGCGAGCGUUAAUCGGAAUUACUGGGCGUAAAGCGCACGCAGGCGGUUUGUUAAGCUAGAUGUGAAAGCCCCGGGCUCAACCUGGGAUGGUCAUUUAGAACUGGCAGACUAGAGUCUUGGAGAGGGGAGUGGAAUUCCAGGUGUAGCGGUGAAAUGCGUAGAUAUCUGGAGGAACAUCAGUGGCGAAGGCGACUCCCUGGCCAAAGACUGACGGCUCAUGUGC
rnacentral:rRNA from 1 species